rnacentral:tRNA from 1 species
UAUGNNAGAUUAGUGCAAUGGAUUUAAGCCCCAUUUAUAAAGUCUAUACUUUUUUUAGAAAAAUA